rnacentral:rRNA from 1 species
GAGUGGUAGGAGAGCGUUCCAAGCAGCGUAGAAGCCAUACCGGUAAGGAGUGGUGGAGCGCUUGGAAGUGAGCAUGCAGGCAUGAGUAGCGAUAAAAGGGAUGAGAAUUCCCUUCGCCGUAAACCCAAGGUUUCCUACGCGAUGCUCGUCAUCGUAGGGUUAGUCGGGACCUAAGUCGAGUCCGAAAGGGGUAGACGAUGGCAAAUCGGUUAAUAUUCCGAUACCGACGGUUGUUUGUUUGAAUGAUGGGGGGACGCAUAGGGCUAAUCGAGCUCACUGAUGGAAUAGUGGGUCGAAGGGUGUAGGUCGUGAAGCAGGCAAAUCCGCUUCACAUGAGACUAAGACCCGACAGGCAGAUCAAUCUCUUCGGAGAGCGGUUUGAAUCGAUGAUGCCGUCGUGCCGAGAAAAGCCUCUAAAUGAGAACAACCGUUGCCCGUACCGUAAACCGACACAGGUGGGUGAGAUGAGUAUUCUAAGGCGCGUGGAAGAACCCUGGUUAAGGAACUCUGCAAACUAGCACCGUAUCUUCGGUAUAAGGUGUGCCCUAAUUGUUAAGGGAUUUACUCCCAAAAGCAACUACGGGUCGCAGCAAAGUGUCCCUCCCGACUGUUUACCAAAAACACAGCACUCUGCUAACUCGUAAGAGGAUGUAUAGGGUGUGACGCCUGCCCGGUGCUUGAAUGUUAAAAGGAUUUGUUAGCUCUGCGAAGCAUUGAAUUGAAGCACAAGUAAACGGCGGCCGUAACUAUAACGGUCCUAAGGUAGCGAAAUUCCUUGUCGGUUAAAUACCGACCUGCAUGAAUGGCGUAACGAGAUGGGAGCUGUCUCAACCAGGGAUCCAGUGAAAUUGUAGUGGAGGUGAAAAUUCCUCCUACCCGCGGAAAGACGGAAAGACCCCGUGCACCUUUACUAUAGCUUGACACUGCUAUUGGGAUAUUCAUGUGCAGGAUAGGUGGGAGCCGUUGAAUCAUAGACGCCAGUUUAUGAUGAGGCAAUCUUGAGAUACCACCCUUGAAUAUUCUGAUAGCUAACCGGGAUGAGUUAUCCUCAUUCGGGACAAUGUCUGGUGGGUAGUUUGACUGGGGCGGUCGCCUCCUAAAAAGUAACGGAGGCUUACAAAGUUCGGCUCAGGUGGGUUGGAAAUCCACCGUAGAGUAUAAUGGCAUAAGCCGGACUGACUGUGAGACAAACACGUCGAGCAGAGUCGAAAGACGGUCAUAGUGAUCCGGUGGUUCUGUAUGGAAGGGCCAUCGCUCAACGGAUAAAAGGUACGCCGGGGAUAACAGGCUGAUCUCCCCCAAGAGUUCACAUCGACGGGGAGGUUUGGCACCUCGAUGUCGGCUCAUCGCAUCCUGGGGCUGAAGCAGGUCCCAAGGGUAUGGCUGUUCGCCAUUUAAAGCGGUACGCGAGCUGGGUUCAGAA